CCGGGCAUGGUAGUGGGUGCCUGUAAAUCCCAGCUACUCAGGAGGCUGAGGCAGGAGAAUCACUUCAACCUGGGAGGCGGAGAUUGCAGAGAUCGGGCUACUGCACUCCAGCCUGGACAACAGAGUGAGACUCUGUCUCAGAAAAAAAAAAAAACAAGUAAAAUUAAUUUUAAUAAUAUAUCUUAUUUAACCCAAUAUGUUCAAAAUAUUAUUUUUCAACUGUAGUCAGUAUAAACAUUAUUAAUGAAAUAUUUUACAUUUUUGUACUGACUUUCUGAAAUGUGGUAUAAGUGUGGAAAUUCUGGGUAGCAGUGUGGUCUCCUGGACAUUGGCCUAUUGUGUCUUCUAUUGGUUAUGUAACCCUGCAGGGUUAGAAUUAAGACACACUGUCCUGCAUUCAAGCCUAGCAUGUAAAAAAACCAAUACAGCAUAGAAGUUAAGAGCAUGGACUGGAGCUCCUACAAAUAGCGUGGCCUUGGUAAAGUCACUUAACCUCUCUGUUCUUCAGUUUCCUCUUCUGUAAGAUGGGAAUAAUCAUAGAGCUACCUUAAAUGAUUGUUUUGAGAAUUAAAUAAAAUUUUAAAUUAAAAAUAAAAAUUUCCUUUUUUUUUUUUUGAGACGGAGUCUCAUUCUGUUGCUCUGUCGCCCAGGAUGGAGUGCAGUGGUGCGAUCUCGGCUCACUGCAACCUCCGCCUCCUGGGUUCAAGUGAUUCUCCUGCCUCAGCCUGCAGAGUAGCUAGGACUAUAGGCAUGCGCCAUCACGCCCGGCUAAUUUUUUUAUUUUUAGUGGAGACGGGGUUUCACCAUGUUGGCCAGGCUGGUCCUGAACCCCUGACCUCAGGUGAUCUGCCUGUCUUGGCCUCCCAAAGUGCUGGGAUUACAGGCGUAAGCCACUGUGCCUGGCCCAGCAUUUACAUGUAUUAGGUAUUAUAAGUACUCUAGAGAUGAUUUAAAGCAUUUAUUCAGGAGGAUGUGCAUAGGUUAUAUGCAAAUACUGUACUUUUUUUUUUUUUUUUGAGACUGUGUCUCAUUCUGUCUGUCACCCUGGCUAGAGUACAGUGGAUGGUCACUGCAGCCUCAAUCUCCCCAGGAUCAAGUGAUCCUCUUGCCUCAGCCUCCCAAGUAGCUGGGAUCACAGUCAAGUGCCUCCAUACCCGGCUAAUUAUUUUAUUAUUUUUUUGUAGAGAUGAAGUCUCUUUAUGUUGCCCAGGCUGUACUGUGCUAUUUUAUAUGAAGGACUUGAGCAUCCUUGGGUUUAGGUGUCCUCGAGAGAUCCUAGAACCAAUCCCACACAGAUCCCAAAGGAAGACUAUGGAACCAUAAUUUUUUUUUUUUUUUUUUGAGAUGAAGUCUUACUCUGUCGCCCAGGCUGGAGUGCAGUGGUGCGAUCUCAGUUCACCGCAACCUCCACCUCCUGGGUUCAAGCGAUUUUCCUACCUCAGCCUCCCACGUAGCUGGGACUACAGGUGUGCACUACCAUGCCUGGCUAAUUUUUGUAUUUUUUAGUAGAGAUGGGGUUUUAACACAUUGGCCAGUCUGGUCUCGAACUCCUGACCUCAGGUGAUCUGCUCACCUCAGCCUUCCAAAGUGCUGGGAUUACAGGCAUGAACCUCAGCGCCCAGCCAGGAACCAUAAUUGCUUUCUUUUUUCUUUUUCUUUUUUUUUUUUUUUUUUGAGACAGGGUCUCACUUUGUCACUGAGUCUGGAGUGCAGUAGUGCAAUCUUGGCUCACUGCAGCCUUGACCUCCUCACUCAAGUGAUACUCCUGUCUCAGACCCCCAAGUAGCUGGGACUACAGAUGCAUGCCCCCAUACCCAGAUAACUGUUUGUGUUUUUUGUAGAGAUGGAGUUUCGCCAUGCUGCCCAGGCUGGUCUCCAACUCCUGAGCUCAAGUGAUCUGCCCGCCUCAGCCCCGCAAAGUGCUAGGAUUACAGGCGUGAGCCACCACACCUGGCCUAGAACCAUAAUUUCAAUAACAAUGAAUUUAGUUAUUUAUUUUUUGAGACAGAAUUUUGCUCUUGUCACCCAAGCUGGAAUGCAAUAGCACAAUCUCGGCUCACUGCAACCUCCGCCUCCUGGUUCAAGUGAGUCUCCUGCCUCAGCCUCCCAAAUAGCUGGAAUUACAGGCGCCCGCCACCACACCCAGCUAAUUUUUAUAUUUUUAGUAGAGGCAGGGUUUCACCAUGUUGGCCAGGCUGGUCUUGAACUCCUGACCUUAGGCAAUCCGCCCAACUCCGCCUCCUAAAGUGCUGGGAUUACAGGCGUGAGCCACCGCGCCAACAAUGAAUUUAGAGCCCAUGAUCAGAUAAAUACUGCACAUCCUACUUUCCAUAAUCCACAGUUUCUUUUUUUUUCCUUUCCUUUUCUAUUUUUUUUUUUUUUUGAGACAGGGUGUCACUUUGUUGCCCAGGAUGGCGUGCAAUGGAAUGAUCUCAGCUCACUGCACCUCCAUCUCCCAGGUUCAAGCGAGUCUCAUUCUUCAGCCUCCUGAGUAGCUGGCAUUACAGGCAUGUGCCACAAUGCCCAGCUAAUUUUUGUAUUUUUUCUUUUUUUUUUUCCUUUUCUUUCUUUUUUUUUUUUUUUUUGUGAGACACAGUCUCGCUCUGUCACCAGGCUGGAGUGCAAUGGCGUGAUCUCGGCUCACUGCAACCUCUGCCUUCCAGGUUCAAGUGAUUCUCCUGCCUCAGCCUCCCAAGUAGCUGGGACUACAGGCGCGCACCACCACACCUGGCUAAUUUUUUUUUUUUUUUUAGUAGAGACGGAGUUUCACCAUGUCAGCCAGAUGGUCUUGAUCUCUUGACCUCGUGAUCUGCCCACCUCGGCCUCCGAAAGUGCUGGGAUUACAGGCAUGAGCCACCGUGCCUGGCCAAUUUUUCUAUUUUUAGUAGAAAUGGGGUUUUGCCAUGUUGGCCAGGCUGGUCUCGAACUCCUGACCUCAAGUGAUCUGCUGGCAUCCACCCCACAAUGUGCUGAGAUUACAAGCGUGAGCCAUCGCGCCUCGCCCUGUUUCAUUUUAUAAUACCAUUAGGUGACCUAAAAGUAGCAAAUGUACUUUCCAAAAAAUUUUAGCUGGCUUUUUCUUUUUUUAUUUGGUUUGGAUUAAUAUAAAAAUGUUUUCAUUCCCUGCAGAUGCUGUUGACUGGGGCAAAGAAUAAUGGGAGAAAAACAGCUGGGUCCUAAAUAACAGAGGGAAACCAACUUUCAAUAAAGUAUUCAACAACUAAUCCACAAAGCAGAUAACUGAAAUGGAGUCUCACUCUGUCGCCCAGGCUGGAGUACAGUGGCGCAAUCUCGGCUCACUACAAACUCCGUCUCCCGGGUUCAAGCCAUUCUCCUGCCUCAGCCUCCCAAGCAGCUGGGACUACAGACGCCCCCCACCAUGCCCGGCUAUUUUUUUUUUAUUUUUUGUAGAGACGGGGUUUCACCGUGUUAGCCAGGAUGGUCUCGAUCUCCUAACCUCGUGAUCUGCCCGCCUCGGCCUCCCAAAGUGCUGGGAUUACAGGCGUGAGACACCGCGUCUGGCUAAUUAUGGUUAUUCUUAUCAUCAUCAUUUGAAAGAACAGUUGUAAAUAAAGAGAGUAAAUAAAUUAUCCUCCUUGUUCCUAAAAAGACGUUUUGUUAUAAAAGUCUUCUUUAUCAAUAAGAUGAAGUAAUGGAGGCAGGAGACAAGUGACAAUAAAAAACAGUCAUAAAAAAAGAACUGCAGAAACUAAGGUCUUAACCCAAAUUAGCAAAAGCAAAAUUGAAGCUCAAUUUUCAUUUUGGAAUAGCUCUACAAUUCCAUAAAUCUGCAAUUAAAGGUUUCUAGAUACCAAAGAGACACAAUGAAAGAGACAAAACAACAAAAAACACAUAAACACAGAUACAGAACUAGAGACUGCGACAGGUGGAGCACAUGACACAAUAGACUGACAGAGAAUAAAUCAAAAGAACAGAGAGGUGGACCAGAAAGAAAACAAGAAUUCAUGCUCUGUUUCACAGUAAUUUACGACUUCCCAAGCAGCCAGUUCUCCCAUCUCCCACUCUCCUUCCUUCCAGCUCCAUACAACUUACAUUAAAAGAUGCCAGGGCCUCAGAGACACUCUUCUCGAUGAACUCAUCAGUGAUUCUUCGGGAAGGAUGUUCAUUAAACACAGAAUUCAUUAGCGCAAUCUUUGCAGCACUCCUCCGGGCCUCAGCUUUUGUGGGGCAAAACUAGGCAGGGGAGAAAGAGUGAGAAUAUGUGUAUUUGUGCAUAUGAGAGAGAGGAAGGAACAGUGGGAGGGAAACACUUCAGAUAGAAAACACUUGGACGCUCUUUGGAUAAAUCAGUUGUGUUCAACACACUUUCCAAGGUUUUUAUGGUAAAGUGGUUGGGAUGUUUGGAAACAUAAUUUUGAUUCAACAUCCUGAAGUCAUUAAGGAACUGGGAGAGGGCUGUAGCUCAUACCAAACUGAAUGCAGAACGAGGAAGGCUGCUUAAGUCAGCAUAUAAUCACUGGUCAUGAAAAAUACCCGUUUAAACUGUCGACAGAAUUAGUUACUCAAAAGUCAGAUUCUGGCCGGCUUAAUAGAAAUCUGUAUCUUGUUCUGCGGACAGGUAAGGUUUUUUGGAUUCCUCUAGAUAACCCAAGAUUAGAACCAAAGCUGUGUCUAGGCUGCUUCUACAGAGGCCACUGGUCUCUAUCAGAAGCACCCAUCUUGGAAUCUCGGACUUCAUUUUUAGCUGUGAGCAGGCAUUUUCUCAAAUAACGUAGUGAGCCAAAGGAGCUAUCCCUGAGAAGGGUUUAAGUCUG
rnacentral:lncRNA from 1 species